rnacentral:snRNA from 1 species
GGAUGUGAGGGCGAUCUGGCUGCAACAUCUCUCACCCCAUUGAUUACCUCGGCUGAUGUGGCAGGCUAGGCAAGUGUACCCUUCCUCUCAAUUCUCCAUGUGCAUCCCUCCCGAAGCUGCAUGCUCAGUGGAAGAGAACGACCACCCCCGACAGAGGAGGACCAUUCCUCAUUCAAGGAUGUACAAGUAGCUGCACUCCCCUGCUAGAACCUCCAAGCAAGCUCUCAAGAUUAUUCACUCAAUGGGCUCCUAAUUAAAUGGACUUCAGGCAAGUGACAGAAACUGUAGGAGGUGGGUGGGUCUGACUCUGUAC